GGGGCGGUGGCCGAACGUGGUAAGGCGAACGGGUUUGGUUCCCGGCCUAUUCGGAGGUUCGAAUCCUUCCGUCCCA
rnacentral:tRNA from 1 species